GUUGUUCUGUUCGGAAUUAGGUUUAUGGAGGAUAUUAAUUAAUGAGUAUCAAUCUCAACAUCGGCGAUUCACACAAGAAGAAUCGGGUUGAAGUCUCAAAUACUAAAAACCCCCCUUCUUCUAUGGAAAUCUUGCCAAGGUACAUGCAACAAUCCAAUGAGGCGAAGCUUUCUGCUCUUGAAUGGGUUCAGAGUGAAGAGAAAAACUUGAGUCGGGAGGACAAACUAAAUUAUGUUUCUCACUGCAAGUUACCAUGAGCAACUCUCAGAUUUCCUUUCAUAUAAACCAACUUUAAACUAAGUUGGUUGAAGCAUUAAGGUGCUCGAGGGGAAAGAUUAUUAUUUGCAUACUGAUGCGCCCAUUAUGUAUUGAACAUAUCAUUUUGUCAUGUUGUUUUUUAGUAGAUACGAUUUGAUCUGAAUUCUUCAUUUUUGGGAUAGCAUUUGUUCUUCUACAAUUGCAUCCAGGAGUGGUUUGGAAUGAGAGGCCACUAUAUAGAUUGUCAGAUAGCCAUGGUGAACUGCUGGAGCUGAUAACUACAGUUUGUUGACACACCAGAUUCCAUAGCAGGAGAUUCCAUGGCUUUACUUUUUCCAAUUGUUGUUCGUGAACUGGAAGGAAGUGUUCUGUAAGCAUUUCAAAAGCUAGGUAGGAAAUGGCAAUUCAAUGAUGUAAGGAGUUUCAAUCGAGGUAUCAGAAGAAACAGAAGUUCCACGACAUUUCUUAUAUGGUCGACAAAUGCAUGAAUAAGAUCAUUCUUUUGAUAGUACUGGUGGUGAACGUAGAGGUUAUAUAAAACAUGGUGGUCGUGGUGGGGUUAAUACUUAAUAGUGUCAUGGAGGUGGUGUUGUGGUCGUGUAUAACACUUAUUAGGUAGAAGUGAUGGGAGCUGCUGCAAUGAUGGGUGGAUAGAGGCAGUUGAGAUGACAGUGGUGGUAGUGGCCGGUGUACAUGUCACAUGUGAAACUAUUAGUAAAAAUAUUUUAUGAAUUUUUAUAACUACAAAAAUUAUAAGCUUAAGUGGAACUGCAGAGUCUUAAGCGGGAACCUGAGUUGGAAUGUUUAUUUUAAAGUUGCCGGUCUCUUUCAAGCAUUUAACAACCAAUGUUUAGUUCUCAAUGGAUAACUUCUCGAGCACGGAGAGUAUUUUGGAUUCAGAGAGUAGCAAAAACUGCGGCCAUUCUAUGUACGACGCACUAAGUUGAAUGAGCACUCAAUCAAAUGGCUGGGGUUUAGAAUACGCACUUAGUGGCGAGGCAGGGGAUGUUUGAAAUUUUCUAUUAAUGUGAAUUGGCUAAGCUUUACACACUUGCAGAGAUCGGCUGUGUUCGCUGAUAAAGCAUCUUGAGCACCUUUAAAUGGACAAGAAUCUGCAGUUGGUGUGCAACUAACUUUGAAGCACGUAGAAGGAUCGCGUUUUUACAAACUCUCGGUUCAUAAGGAUGCCACGUCUUCCAUUAGUUUGUAAAAUGCUAUCAUUGAGGGUAACAUGGGAAGUGAGUAUCAGGGAAAAGGAAAGUUUAUCAAAGUUGUUGAUGCUUUAUCUCCUGAUACAUGGGAUCAGUUGUAAUUUUGCGGAGGGGUUCCUUGAGGGUGGGUUUGUUUGGGGACUUUUCCUUUUUGUGUCCUGAGUUCAUGCAGGUGAUCAUGAAUAUACUGAUGUGGUCGUUCACUGCAAUACUAGAGUAUCUGAACGCUCCAUCAUUGAUAUUGACUUCCACAACCACUUCGAAAUAGCUACAACAGUUAAGCCUUAUGACAAAUGUACUAGGGAAGACUGUUGGCUACCUUUGAUAGAUUUGAUUAUCGCAGUCAGAGCUGCUGAAUUAGGUGAUAACCUAAAAUUAAGUACCGACAGGGUUUUGAUUUUUGGUGGUUUAUUUAGAAGAAAGUUUGUGAUUGCAUUCAAAACUGUGUGUUUGAUUUUGCUGGAUUGGAAACUGCUGUGAUUCAUUUUGGAGAUAUUGAUGAUAUGGAAUAUAAUCUUACUUAGGGCGAUUUUAAAACCAGGUUCUAUCCACGGCUUUACCUAAGCAAUCAAAAUUAGGUGUGUUAUAACUUCAGUUUAUGUUCUUAACUGCAUCAUCGGACACCAGGUUUUUGGCCGUGUCAAAGACAUUGACAACUGCUUGAACAACUUCAAUAACUUUUGCAUUAUCCACCUAAUUAUUUAUUUUGUUA